UACAAGAUGGCCAUCUGAUAGCAGAUUU
rnacentral:piRNA from 1 species